ensembl:lncRNA
GGUCCAACAGGGGGCGCCGCGUUGGAACGCCCAAAGGGGUUGGGGGUUCGGGUGCGGUGGGCGAGCAAGCGAGUGUAUGGCGGCCAGGCCCAGAAGGCCACGAGGACCGCUGGCGCCGAGGCGUCAGUCUUUCAGACUCCAAAAGUAGCAAAGGCCGAGCGAGGAGGUUAGGGGCUCCCAAAGGCCAGCCCUUGGGGCUGUUGAUGGCCAGGCUAACCCGACAGGAGGCGCCGCUGCCACCGAGUGACUGGCUACCAGAUUCUGAAACCCUAAGUGCCUUGGAUGAGUGGGGCUUAAGAGACCACAGAACUGGGUCAAGGAUUAAGCUCAGUGGCACCACACCUGCCUUGCAAGCUCAAGGUCCUGGGUUUGAUCCCUGGUACCAAAAAAAAAAAAAAAAAUUAGAGGCCACAGAACUACAGCCAGACAUUUGAGGAAGCAGCAAAUACAAAAGACAGCUGAGUGGCCUGGCCAAAGACAGCUGAGAGAUUUGGUGUGGUGAGAGCCGAGGAUGAGCACCACGUGGAUGGACUGGAGGAUCAUCUUGGUCAGCCAGAUCAUCAGGAGGACUGGAGAAGGCACGCCAAGGUGCGCUACCGGAUUGUGGCUACCUGCUGCACACUGGUCAGCAAGGCAGUUUCCCCGCCGCCCGCCCGCCGGAUGAAGAUGGCAGGAGCGAGCCACCUCUCGGCUCCCCUUCCCAGCAUCCAAGCCCCGGCGGGCCAGAUGCGACACCUUUUCCCCGGCCAGGGCCACGCUCCUUCAGACUCGAGGUACUGUGCCCUCGCAACAGACGCGACCCGCACUCCACCCUACUCCCCUUUCCGCCCAAGACCACCGCGCAGACCCUGCGGUCGCUUUUCUCCUUCAUCCUAGCGCUGCGCGCCAGCAGCCCAGGAACUUCCAGCCGAGCCGCAGGCAGCCCCGCCGCCUUAGCAGCUGCGCGAAAAGGAUGGCGAUGCCCCGACGUGAUCGAGUCCGCGCUGCCAACCCGAGUAGCCCCAAGGGUACCUCCAAAAGUUUCUGUACCUCUACCCGCAGCCCUCUUAAGGACCGGCGAUUGGACCAGGAGAGGUUGGCGCUGUGGGGCACUGACAGAGCUCCCAGCACUUCACUUGGUGAAGCCCACAAAUCCAGCAUGCGGCCCAUUCUCACUUUACUUCUUCAGCUUCUAAUGUAGUCACUGCUUGGGCAUUACACAGGAAGAUGGACAACCUCCGCCUCCACCCAGACAACGCUGGCCCCUGCACCUCUUCUCGUUCCAGUGGGCAUUUCCUUCAAGCGAUUGCCAUAGCUUGCUUUCAUAGCGUGACAUUACCUCCCGUCUUCUCGGCUCCCCGCUGCAUUUCAGCCCCCACAGGACAGCUGUGCCUUUCUCACCCGCUCAACAGAGUAGACAUUCAGGUAAUUGCUGGAUGAAUGGACAGACAGCAGAAGGAUUCACAGACACAGACAAGGCAGGUGAGGCACCGCAGAAGCAGAGUGGCUACUACACGGAGAAAGCAAGCAGGAGCUCUGGGGUGGCCAGAAGGAGUUGGGGCCAGGGGUGUCCCCCAGCUGUCCUGAAUGCAGAAGUGGGGCAGGACUCCCAACCCUUAGAGCAAACCAAUUCUCUUGGAAGUGUUGGCCCCACUACCAGAACACCCCCACCAGAGUUGGCAGGCUUCUAGGGGCUCAAGGACCCCUGAGUUCCAUUCUUGAGCCCUCUCGGGCUAUGGGCCUGAACGGGCACUAAGGUGGAGCUCGUCUGUGCCUGCUGUGCAGGUCAGGCUGACCAGUGCCAGGGGCUGUCAGUGGACGUGCUGGGAGCCAAGCUCUCCAGGAGACAGCAGGCUGAGGACCUCUGUCCUGCCAGGACCCCUCAAAUGAUACCAGUCAGGCCUGAGUCAUCCAGCCCCCCACCACAGCUGGGGUGUGUGGUGGGAGAGCCAUGAAAAAAUGGCCCAAGAGGCUAAGGGUGCUAGAAAAGGCCAAAACAUGAGAACAGAGUGUGAGGCUGCCACCCAGACUUGCAGCCAAUGCUGGCUGAGGGAUGCAGCUUGGCAAGCAGUGUGAUGGAGAGGGCCAGAACCCCUCCCUCCCUGUUCCUUCAGGCCACCUCUGCAGGCUGUGCCUCUGCAGCUUUUAGCACCCAGGAAAGGAAGGCAGAGCCCUGGGCGUCUGCUCACCAGCUCUGAGGUCCAGCCCAUCCUUGUCCUCAGGCCUACAGCUCUCGCUGCUCCCAGCCCGACUGCAGACCUGGUCUCCCUUUCUCAGCCAUACCGCCUGUCCCACAGCAGAGCUCCAGCUAAGUGCCAGCCAUGCGUGGGUCUGGGAGAUGUCAGCCCAUGAAGAGGCAAGACUCCCUUCCCAUUGGAGUUUACUUCUAGUGUUGAAGAUUGGAAUCAAGACACGUUGCAAGAAGACACUCUGGGUAAGAGGAGCAGGAUAGGCAGGCAAGCUACCAUCUGAAUAGGGCUCCCCAGUACUUCUUCCGGCUGCACCAGUCUGCCCCAGAGCCUUGGGUCAUGGUUAGGACAUGGGGCCAUCCUGGGCACUGUAGGAUCUGGAGUAGCUCCACUGGCCUCUAUUGACUGGAUAGUAGGAGCCACCUUGACCACUCGAUUGUGACAGCAACAAAUAUCAUUACACACUGUCCCAUACCCUCUGGGGGAAAAUUACCCCAAGCUGGCAACUGCUGGGAGACCAUUGGCUUGCACUAAUUUUACCUGACCUGCUUAACCAUAAAGGCAAAGGAAGAAAUAGAAGUGUAUCAUGUGGCCCCUUUGCGCUCUUAAAGUUCCAGCUUAAUUGUACUGCCACAGGGCAGGGAAGUGUGCAAAAACUUUGUGACCUUCUAAGGGUUCUGGCAGUAUGAG